GCCUUCGUGGUGUAGUGGUCAGCACACUGAGCCGGUAUUUGAGGUUCGUGGUUCGAUUCCCGGCGAAGGCC
rnacentral:tRNA from 1 species